CCAGCAGGCUGUGGGAUGCAGUGACCGCUCGGCCUCCGGGCUCUCCGGAGGCUUUCUUCUCUUCUCUCUGCACCUGCACCAACGGCGAACCUGGAUUAACGCUGGGGGUUUGGUGGCUGCUGCCCAGGGCUUUAGGCUAAUGGAGCUCCACAAAACUGGAUUUCAGUGAUAGCAAAGAGGAUUUCUCGGUCCUGAAGAUAAGAAAGUAACAUAACAGCUCUUCUAAGAAAGCUGACGAUACAGGAAAGCAGACUCCCUUUCUCCCAUCCCAUUCUGGGGACCAGUUCAGGAGCCAGAUACUCCACCACCCUCCUGCAGCAAAACACCUAGUCGGAGCCAAUUCUGGAGUGGGACAGGGCCGAGUCCCGGGAUAAGAUUUCUCUCAAAAUGGCCACCACCAGUGGACAGGACCAGGCCAGGCAGGCCUAAGUAAUCGGACAACCUAAGACUGACUCCCGAAGUGAAGACUACUGGAAU